GUAUGGUAUGUUGUUAUAAGGGGCAUAUGUAGCCCUAUGAACAUUAUACGGAAUAAUGCGUUAGCUUUAAUGUUUUAGGGGUUGUGAAAAUACUGAUUUGGCUUUGGAUACCUUUUGAAAUGGGGUUGGUGGAUGGAUAGAUAGCUGGAUAGAUGGAUAGAUAGAUGGAUGGAUAGAUGGAUAGGUAGGUAGAUGGAUGGAUAGAUAGAUAGGUAGGUAGGUAGGUAGGUAGGUAGGUAGAUGGAUGGCUGGAUAGAUAGAUGGAUAGAUAGAUGGAUGGAUGGAAGGAUAGAUGGAUGGAUAGAUAGAUGGAUGGAUAGAUAGGUAGAUGGAUGGUUGGAUAGAUAGCUGGAUAUAUGGAUGGAUGGAUGGAUGGAUGGAUAGAUAGAUAUCUAGGUAGAUGGAUGGCUGGAUAGAUAGAUGGAUAGAUGGAUGAUAGAUAGAUAGAUAGAUAGAUGGAUGACUGGAUAGAUAGCUGGAUAGAUGGAUAGAUAGAUGGAUGGAUAGAUAGAUAGAUAGAUAGAUAGAUAGAUAGAUAGAUAGAUAGAUAGAUAGAUAGAUGGAUGACUGGAUAGAUAGCUGGAUAGAUGGAUAGAUGGAUGGAUGGAUAGAUAGAUAGAUAGAUAGAUAGAUAGGUAGGUAGAUGGAUGGCUGGAUAG
ensembl:lncRNA